UUGGGUUAAUCAAUUUAAAAUAUUUAUUAUCUCAUUUAACAGGAAGGCCCAAGAAUGGUGGUUCCAGGCUGGUUGAUUCAGAGGCUCAACUGUGUCAUCAGGACCAGCGAUGACCAACAGCAUCCUUCCACUCUGUUGUUUUCCUCUCAGUUCUUAAGAAGGUUGCAGCCUUUCCAAGCUUCCCAUCCAUGCAUAACAACGUCUAGUAGCUG
rnacentral:lncRNA from 1 species